AGAGUUUGAUCCUGGCUCAGAUUGAACGCUGGCGGCAGGCCUAACACAUGCAAGUCGAACGGUAACAUUUCUAGCUUGCUAGAAGAUGACGAGUGGCGGACGGGUGAGUAAUGCUUGGGAACUUGCCUUUGCGAGGGGGAUAACAGUUGGAAACGACUGCUAAUACCGCAUAAUGUCUACGGACCAAACGGGGCUUCGGCUCCGGCGCAAAGAGGGGCCCGCGUUUGAUUAGCUAGUUGGUGGGGUAAUGGCCUACCAAGGCGACGAUCAAUAGCUGGUCUGAGAGGAUGAUCAGCCACACUGGGACUGAGACACGGCCCAGACUCCUACGGGAGGCAGCAGUGGGGAAUAUUGGACAAUGGGGGCAACCCUGAUCCAGCAAUGCCGCGUGUGUGAUGAAGGCCUUAGGGUUGUAAAGCACUUUCACUGGUGAAGAUGAUGACGGUAACCAGAGAAGAAGCCCCGGCUAACUUCGUGCCAGCAGCCGCGGUAAUACGAAGGGGGCGAGCGUUGUUCGGAAUUACUGGGCGUAAAGGGCGCGUAGGCGGCUCUUUAAGUUAGGCGUGAAAUCCCCGGGCUCAACCUGGGAACUGCGCUUAAGACUGGAGAGCUAGAAAACGGAAGAGGGUAGUGGAAUUCCCAGUGUAGAGGUGAAAUGCGUAGAUAUCGGGAAGAACACCAGUGGCGAAGGCGCUCUGCUGGGCCAUUACUGACGCUCAUGGACGAAAGCCAGGGGAGCGAAAGGGAUUAGAUACCCCUGUAGUCCUGGCCGUAAACGAUGAACACUAGGUGUCGGGGGAAUCGACCCCUUCGGUGUCGUAGCUAACGCGUUAAGUGUUCCGCCUGGGGAGUACGCACGCAAGUGUGAAACUCAAAGGAAUUGACGGGGGCCCGCACAAGCGGUGGAGUAUGUGGUUUAAUUCGAUGCAACGCGAAGAACCUUACCAGGGUUUGACAUCCUGCGAACCUCUUAGAAAUUUGAGGGUGCCUUCGGGAAUGCAGUGACAGGUGGUGCAUGGCUGUCGUCAGCUCGUG
rnacentral:rRNA from 1 species